AGGGGUGUAGCUCAGUGGGCAGAGCAUCUGCCUUUGCAUGCAGAAGGUCCCAGGUUCAAUCCCUGGUAUCUCUA